UAGAAUGCUAUGUAACUAUUACCACUGUCUAGUUCCAGAACAUUUUCAUCACCCCAAAAAGAAAACCUGUACCUAUUAAGCAAUUACUUCUCAUUUUCCUGUACCCCCAGCCCCUGGCAACCACUAAUCUGCUUUCAG